AGGAAAAGAAACCAACAGGGAUUGCCCCAGUAACGGCGAGUGAAGCGGCAAAAGCUCAAAUUUGAAAUCCUGCGGGAAUUGUAAUUUGAAGGUUUCGUGGUCUGAGUCGGCCGCGCCCAAGUCCAUUGGAACAUGGCGCCUGGGAGGGUGAGAGCCCCGUAUGGCGCACGCCGACUCUUUGUACACCGCGGCUCCGACGAGUCGAGUUGUUUGGGAAUGCAGCUCUAAGUGGGUGGUAAAUUCCAUCUAAAGCUAAAUAUUGGCGAGAGACCGAUAGCGAACAAGUACAGUGAUGGAAAGAUGAAAAGCACUUUGAAAAGAGAGUGAAACAGCACGUGAAAUUGUUGAAAGGGAAGGGCUUGCAAGCAGACACGGUUUUACCGGGCCAGCGUCGAAAAGGGGGGAGGAACAAGAACUCGAGAAUGUGGCGCGCACCUUCGGGCGCGCGUGUUAUAGCUCGUGUUGACGCCUCCAUCCUYUUUCGAGGCCUGCGAUUCUAGGACGCUGGCGUAAUGGUUGCAAGCCGCCCGUC
rnacentral:rRNA from 1 species